GUUUUAAUAGUUUAAUAAAAACAUUGGUCUUGUAAACCAAAAAUAAGACUAUAUCUUUUAAAACU
rnacentral:tRNA from 1 species